GACGAACGCUGGCGGCGUGCUUAACACAUGCAAGUCGAACGGAGCGGCGGACGGGUGAGUAAUGUCUGGGGAUCUGCCCGAUAGAGGGGGAUAACUACUGGAAACGGUGGCUAAUACCGCAUACUAUCGGAUGAACCCAUCUGGGAUUAGCUAGUAGGUGGGGUAAAGGCCUACCAAGGCGACGAUCCGUAACUGGUCUGAGAGGAUGAUCAGUCACACUGGAACUGAGACACGGUCCAGACUCCUACGGGAGGCAGCAGUGGGGAAUAUUGGACAAUGGGCGAAAGCCUGAUCCAGCCAUGCCGCGUGUGUGAAGAAGGUCUUCGGAUUGUAAAGCACUUUAAGUUGGGAGGCGUUACCAACAGAAUAAGCACCGGCUAACUUCGUGCCAGCAGCCGCGGUAAUAC
rnacentral:rRNA from 1 species